CAUAAAUAUUCAUAACAAUAAACUCUGAUUCAAUAAAAACUAGACACUAGUCAAUACAUUCAUCGACUAACUGAAUAAGUCGACUCAUUUCCCCUGUUUUUUAGUCUUUUUGAGAAAAAUUCAAAAAUUUCAAUCAAUUCAUGGUUUUGUUCACCCUUUCACCAAAAAUUGAGUUGUUUUUUACACAUGUUAUCGAGUCGACUUACAACUUGUUAGACUUGUCCAAUUUUCAUUGACUGGCUAACUGAUGUGACUUGAUUGCCAUUUGAUUGUUUAUUUUAAUUGUUUUUGUUUAAUUUUUAUUUGUUAUGUGCUGAUAAGUCAACAUUUAAACACUUUGUGUACUCAGUGUUAUGAUCAAAAUUUAGGUUUUCUGUUUCUUUUGUGUUUUAAAAGUUUUUUGUUUUUAGGUGACAUUGUUAUUUAAUUUAGGACAAUCAAUUUCAAGCCACAAGGGACAAUCAAUCAAUUUUUUAAGCCAAUUAGUUAUUGUGUUACAAAUAUUGACUCACUUUCUAAGGUCGGAUUACAAUUUUGGUGUACAGUGGAGUACCAGAUACUGUCAGUAACUGGAAAUAGCUUAUAUGCACAGCAAGACUAUUAAUCGAGCUAAAAUUUAAAAUUAAUAACAAUGGUUAAUAAAAUUAAAGUCAGUUGCUAGAAAAGUCAUACAAACUAAUGUCAUUGUGCUGAGGAUCGUUAAUUGAGUUGAAUUUGUCAGAAAUAUUCAACUUUUUUGAUAAUUUCUUUAUCAUUUCAAUUAAAACUUUCCUUAUAGGCCUGUAAACAAAGGGUUUGAGGGGCUAUUGAAUAAUCUACUGACAUUAUCUGGUACUGACACUAUCUGGUACUCCACUGUAUAUAACAGCAACAAAACAAGUGAUGAACCCUAAUUACUACUCAUACAAUUUAAUUGCCUUGGGUGAUUUUCAUUUUCUGUUCUCAUUGUUUUAAAUUUAUUUUAUUAACAAUUAAUGUGCUUAUGUAACACUAUUCAACAUUCCACCUUUAACGAUAAUAAUAAAUUAUAAACAUUAAAUGUAAAUCUUGUUGAAACGUAAGUAGACUCAUAAACAAAACAAUAGCCCAAUGGCUUAUUAAUGCCAAUUAUUGGUUUGGUGUCAAUAAUAUUCCCUGUUAACCUUUUAAUGAUUAAAUUUUAUUGUUACAGCUAUUAAGGGUUAAUUUGUUUCAACAUCAUAAUAUUUCGGCAGCAAUUGCUAUCCAAGAACCACUAAAAUUUCUCAACUUAAUUGGAUCAUUUUUCUGCAUUUUAUAAAAAAAAGUCAUUGACUAUGAAUCAGUUUGUGUGGUAAAAUGAUCAAUAAUUUCAAUCCGAGUUUAAUCAAGACAUUCAAGCAAUCUUACAUCCGAAAUUCGCGCUCAAAUAGAUUUCAAUAAAGUGUUUAAAAAGCACAAUAGAUGGCAGUAGUUAGUUAGUCUCGCUAUUUUACCGGCAAUUUAAAGUUUAAACAUUUGAUCUUUCAGGCAACGAUUUUAUGUAACAUUGGCCUAACAUUAGUCUUAAAUGCUCAUCAAACCUAAUUGUUGAGAAGAUUUAGAUUCAGAUUUAUUUAGAUCAUUUUGGACACUUCCCUAGUUAGUCAAGUGGUAUUUCCCGAUAAUAUCUAAUUUGAUUCAAUCAUAACAUCUGUGACAAUCCAUUCGGUCUAUUGAACAAAUGGAAAUGGAUUUGGAAAAAAAUAAAUUAAAUAUUUUAU